rnacentral:ncRNA from 1 species
AGAUAAAUUUUUUAUGGUUUAAAAAAUUUAUUUUAAAUUUAUUUUACAUAUAAAUUUUAGUGUUAAUUAUUAAUUAUUUAAAUAAUAUUUAAUGUUUUUGUAGUAAUUAAUUUUAAAAAUUUAAGAAAUUAAGAUUUAGUAAUAUUAAAAUUUAAUAACUAAUUUUGUGCCAGCAGUUGCGGUUAUACAAAAAUUAAUUUAAAUUUUUUUUUAGUUAUUAAUAAAUAAAUUAUAAGAAUAAUUUAAAUUUUAAAUUUUAAGGUGAAAUUUUAAUUUAGUAAAAAAUUAUUUGAUAUUUAUGAUUUAAUAAAUUUUAUAAAAAACUAGGAUUAGAUACCCUAUUAUUAAAAUUUAAAUUAAUAAUACUUAAAUAGUAGAUAAUUAUUUAUUGAAACUUAAAUAAUUUGGCGGUAUUUUAGUUCAUUUAGAGGAAUCUGUUUAAUAAUUGAUAAUCCACGAAUAAAUUUACUUAAUUUAUUAUUUUGUAUAUCGUUGUUAAAAAAAUAUUUUUUAAUAAUAUUAAUAUUUAAAAAUUUUUAAUAUAAAUUAAAUCAGAUCAAGAUGCAGAUUAUAAUUAAGAAUAUAAUGGAUUACAAUAAAUUUAUUUAAUUGAAUUUUAAUAUGAAAAAAUUAAAUGAAAUUGGAUUUAAAUGUAAUUUUAUUUAAAUUUUUAAAAUGAUUAAAUAUUAAAAUAUGUACAUAUUGCCCGUCGCUUUCAUUUAUAAAUUGAAAUAAGUCGUAACAAAGUAGAGGUACUGGAAAGUGUUUCUAGAAAGAU